rnacentral:misc_RNA from 1 species
UCACAUUUACCACCCCCCUCCACUAUCCCUCGUGACUUGCUCAGAGACCGAUCACAGCAAUUCUAGAAUGUCGCUCAAAUGUCGCUCAGAAGGUGCUCUGAGUUUGAUCGACAUGAGCAGCCAAUGAAGGCGAAAGGUGGAUCCGCACGCUGACGGAUCAUGCACACCACCACUGAGUAUCUCCCGGAUCGGCCUUGUCGAUCGAACUUUGCAGUAAGUGAAUAGGGGGUCAAGGGAGUUGUGGUGAACUAUGAACCGGCCACUCAAGUGACCAGGGGUUUUGGAGGCGAUGGAGAGGCCUACAGCGUCUUCUCAACGACAAACCACAACCCCUACAAGUGCUACGGUACUAUUUUUUCUAAUCAUUAUCAUUAAUAGGUAUCUAAAGAUCUAAGCUGUCCAGCAGAAUAUAAAUAAGCGAAAGUC